GGCUCAGAUUGAACGCUGGCGGCGUGCUUAACACAUGCAAGUCGCGCGUGAAAGGACUUCGGUCCGAGUAAAGCGGCGCACGGGUGAGUAACGCGUGGAUGAUCUACCCAUGAGUUAGGAAUAACGGCUGGAAACGGUCGCUAAUACCAAAUACGCUCCGAUUUCAACUUCGGGGGAAAGGUGGCCUCUGCUUGCAAGCUACUGCUCAUGGAUGAGUCCGCGUCCCAUUAGCUAGUUGGUGGGGUAACGGCCCACCAAGGCGACGAUGGGUAGCCGGUCUGAGAGGAUGACCGGCCACACUGGGACUGGAACACGGCCCAGACUCCUACGGGAGGCAGCAGUGGGGAAUAUUGCGCAAUGGGCGAAAGCCUGACGCAGCGACGCCGCGUGAGGGAUGAAAGGUCCUCGGAUCGUAAACCUCUGUCAGGAGGGAAGAACCGCCACGGUGCUAAUCAGCCGUGGUCUGACGGUACCUCCAAAGGAAGCACCGGCUAACUCCGUGCCAGCAGCAGC
rnacentral:rRNA from 1 species